UGCAAGUCGAGCGGUAGAGAGAAGCUUGCUUCUCUGUGAGAGCGGCGGACGGGUGAGUAAUGCCUAGGAAUCUGCCUGGUAGUGGGGGAUAACGUUCGGAAACGGACGCUAAUACCGCAUACGUCCUACGGGAGAAAGCAGGGGACCUUCGGGCCUUGCGCUAUCAGAUGAGCCUAGGUCGGAUUAGCUAGUUGGUGGGGUAAUGGCUCACCAAGGCGACGAUCCGUAACUGGUCUGAGAGGAUGAUCAGUCACACUGGAACUGAGACACGGUCCAGACUCCUACGGGAGGCAGCAGUGGGGAAUAUUG
rnacentral:rRNA from 1 species